AGAGUUUGAUCCUGGCUCAGGACGAACGCUGGCGGCGUGCCUAAUACAUGCAAGUCGAGCGGACAGAUGGGAGCUCGCUCCCUGAUGUUAGCGGCGGACGGGUGAGUAACACGUGGGUAACCUGCCUGUAAGACUGGGAUAACUCCGGGAAACCGGGGCUAAUACCGGAUGGUUGUUUGAACCGCAUGGUUCAAACAUAAAAGGUGGCUUCGGCUACCACUUGCAGAUGGACCCGCGGCGCAUUAGCUAGUUGGUGAGGUAAUGGCUCACCAAGGCAACGAUGCGUAGCCGACCUGAGAGGGUGAUCGGCCACACUGGGACUGAGACACGGCCCAGACUCCUACGGGAGGCAGCAGUAGGGAAUCUUCCGCAAUGGACGAAAGUCUGACGGAGCAACGCCGCGUGAGUGAUGAAGGUUUUCGGAUCGUAAAGCUCUGUUGUUAGGGAAGAACAAGUGCCGUUCGAAUAGGGCGGUACCUUGACGGUACCUAACCAGAAAGCCACGGCUAACUACGUGCCAGCAGCCGCGGUAAUACGUAGGUGGCAAGCGUUGUCCGGAAUUAUUGGGCGUAAAGGGCUCGCAGGCGGUUUCUUAAGUCUGAUGUGAAAGCCCCCGGCUCAACCGGGGAGGGUCAUUGGAAACUGGGGAACUUGAGUGCAGAAGAGGAGAGUGGAAUUCCACGUGUAGCGGUGAAAUGCGUAGAGAUGUGGAGGAACACCAGUGGCGAAGGCGACUCUCUGGUCUGUAACUGACGCUGAGGAGCGAAAGCGUGGGGAGCGAACAGGAUUAGAUACCCUGGUAGUCCACGCCGUAAACGAUGAGUGCUAAGUGUUAGGGGGUUUCCGCCCCUUAGUGCUGCAGCUAACGCAUUAAGCACUCCGCCUGGGGAGUACGGUCGCAAGACUGAAACUCAAAAGAAUUGACGGGGGCCCGCACAAGCGGUGGAGCAUGUGGUUAAUUCGAAGCAACGCGAAGAACCUUACCAGGUCUUGACAUCCUCUGACAAUCCUAGAGAUAGGACGUCCCCUUCGGGGGCAGAGUGACAGGUGGUGCAUGGUUGUCGUCAGCUCGUGUCGUGAGAUGUUGGGUUAAGUCCCGCAACGAGCGCAACCCUUGAUCUUAGUUGCCAGCAUUCAGUUGGGCACUCUAAGGUGACUGCCGGUGACAAACCGGAGGAAGGUGGGGAUGACGUCAAAUCAUCAUGCCCCUUAUGACCUGGGCUACACACGUGCUACAAUGGACAGAACAAAGGGCAGCGAAACCGCGAGGUUAAGCCAAUCCCACAAAUCUGUUCUCAGUUCGGAUCGCAGUCUGCAACUCGACUGCGUGAAGCUGGAAUCGCUAGUAAUCGCGGAUCAGCAUGCCGCGGUGAAUACGUUCCCGGGCCUUGUACACACCGCCCGUCACACCACGAGAGUUUGUAACACCCGAAGUCGGUGAGGUAACCUUUUAGGAGCCAGCCGCCGAAGGUGGGACAGAUGAUUGGGGUGAAGUCGAAACAAGGUA
rnacentral:rRNA from 1 species